rnacentral:lncRNA from 1 species
UAAAAACUCUGCAAGACAACGUUUUGUGUUCCUUUCAGGAAGUGUCAACGCAAUGGAGGAAAGGAAAGGCAACAUCUAUAACCUGGGAAUCCAGAACAGGAGAGGCGUUUUCCAAUCAGCCUGGCACCGAGGCUCCGGUGGAGCUGGUAGCGCUGCACACUCAGAAUGAGACUGGACUUGCCCGGAGAGUCGGGGACCGUGCUGGGCUUGUAAGACGUGGAGUUAUCAUUCAUCUAUUCAUCCCCAGUGGGUGAAAAAGGGAAGUAGACCCUGCUGGACUCAAGAUGCUUAUCGAUUCAUCCCUUUAGCAGGCAAGCAGGAAGACGCGUGAGCCCCUCGGGCUUGGGGCUUUGGCUCCUGGAGAAGUUCUGCCCGGUUCCCACAGGGGCUCGGGAGCCAGAGGAGCUGGGAGGGGCGGCAGGACCCCGGCGGCUUUUAUUUUGCGCCAUAAAGGCCUUCACAAUGUCUGCUGGAAUUUCAACAGUUAAAGAGACCCCCGGUACAAAGAGGCGCUGCGACAGUAAUCGGGAAAUAAAUUUGAUUUUCUGAAUUCUUUGGCAGCUGGUGACAAAGGGCCAGGUAUGGCGCCGCGGCAGGGGUGAUCCCUGCAGAAGGCGGCUGCGCAGUGGGGCGUGCGGCCCCCGAGGCACAAAGGCGACCGCGCCGGGAGUGCGCCACAAAGGAGCUGGGGCUCUGCGAUGGCCAGGGCCGAUGCGGGGCGGGAGUCGCCCACUGCUGCUCCGCCACGCUCCCGCGCUGCGCCAAGGCCAGAGGCGGAGAAUCAAGGGCGCAGUGCUCGGUCUUCGACCUGGGACUUCAGGGGCCUCCACUGGGGCCACGAGCAGCAGGAGACUUUUAUAGCUUAAAUCAAUUCAAGAAAUGUCAAUUAACCCCUUGCCUAAUUCAGCCUUUUGCUGGGGUUUUUCAAGGGUCAUUGGGGAAUUCCCUUCUCUGUGAGGGGCCCCAAUUUCCCCCAGGUUCACCAAACCGAGGAGGCCCCCUUCCUUUAUUUAUGGGAUUAUAUUUUGUCGUUUCAAAUGUCUUUCCUAUUUGUGUGUCUGUAAAUGGCUUUCAGGGCCGUGGUGGAUCUUGUUCCUCCUUAAGAGACUAACCAGAAGUGCUAGGGAGAAACCCUAGGAAAUGGUGCUGCUAGGCCUCUCAGGCAGGAAUGAGGACUUCAUUCACGCAUGCAUGCAUGCAUGCAAACACUAAGCGUCCCCUUUCCCUCCAGCCCUUCACUGAUCUUUGACUAUUCUGAUCUCCUCCAGUUACUUCAUGCUUCUAUGUCUGCUGCGUCUCAGCGCCUCUCCAGUGCUAUUGGAAUAGAACCUCCAGCUCCCCCACCAGCCUGGAAGCCCCAGGGAGGGAGCAGCAUUCACUUUUUCAGCCACACACCCCAGCCCCCUCACUUAUGGAGAUGCAUGCCCAUGUCGAAUUUUCUCAGCACCCCUCUCCGAUGUUCCAGCAGCCAUCACUCCAGAAGCACAUCAAACUUGGGUUCCCUUCCUUUUCUGUUCAAAGUGAGGCAGUCCACAAUUAUUUGUAGGGGAUGUCAAGAGUCCAGAAAAGCAGACUUGGAUAGAACAAGAUGUGUUAGCAUGCAGCUUGCUAAUGCUUGAGCCCUCUGUG